UACGAAGGGGCUAGCGUUGCUCGGAAUCACUGGGCGUAAAGGGUGCGUAGGCGGGUCUUUAAGUCAGGGUGAAAUCCUGGAGCUCAACUCCAGAACUGCCUUUGAUACUGAGGAUCUUGAGUUCGGAGAGGUGAGUGGAACUGCGAGUGUAGAGGUGAAAUUCGUAGAUAUUCGCAAGAACACCAGUGGCGAAGGCGGCUCACUGGCCCGAUACUGACGCUGAGGCACGAAAGCGUGGGGAGCAACAGG
rnacentral:rRNA from 1 species